rnacentral:rRNA from 1 species
AUUGAACGCUGGCGGCAGGCUUAACACAUGCAAGUCGAGCGGGGGAGGUUGCUUCGGUAACUGACCUAGCGGCGGACGGGUGAGUAAUGCUUAGGAAUCUGCCUAUUAGUGGGGGACAACAUUCCGAAAGGGAUGCUAAUACCGCAUACGCCCUACGGGGGAAAGCAGGGGAUCUUCGGACCUUGCGCUAAUAGAUGAGCCUAAGUCGGAUUAGCUAGUUGGUGGGGUAAAGGCCUACCAAGGCGACGAUCUGUAGCGGGUCUGAGAGGAUGAUCCGCCACACUGGGACUGAGACACGGCCCAGACUCCUACGGGAGGCAGCAGUGGGGAAUAUUGGACAAUGGGCGGAAGCCUGAUCCAGCCAUGCCGCAUGUGUGAAGAAGGCCUUUUGGUUGUAAAGCACUUUAAGCGAGGAGGAGGCUCUUAAGGUUAAUACCCUUGAUGAGUGGACGUUACUCGCAGAAUAAGCACCGGCUAACUCUGUGCCAGCAGCCGCGGUAAGAC